GUUGUGGUCGAUGUAGAAGACUUUGCCGUCGUAAUCCCUCGCCUCCUCCCAGCCAUCGGGAGAAGAGUACCCUAGACUGGUUACCAUGGUUCAGCUGAUAGAAGGCUCUCUUGAAGAUUCUGACAUCUGUUGU